CCUACGGGAGGCAGCAGUGAGGAAUAUUGGUCAAUGGGCGCGAGCCUGAACCAGCCAAGUCGCGUGAGGGAAGACGGUCCUAUGGAUUGUAAACCUCUUUUGUCGGGGAGCAAAAGACGCCACGCGUGGAGUUCCGAGAGUACCCGAAGAAAAAGAAUCGGCUAACUCCGUGCCAGCAGCAGCGGUAAUAAGGAGGAUGCGAGCGUUAUCCGGUUUUAGUGGGUUUAAAGGGUGCGUAGGUUGUUUUUUAAGUCAGCGGUGAAAGUUUGUGGCUCAACCAUAAAAUUGCCGUUGAGACUGGAAGACUUGAGUGUGUUUGAGGUAGGCGGAAUGCGUGGUGUAGCGGUGAAAUGCAUAGAUAUCACGCAGAACUCCGAUUGCGAAGGCAGCUUACUAAGCCAUAACUGACACUGAAGCACGAAAGCGUGGGGAUCAAACAGGAUUAGAUACCCGGGUAGUC
rnacentral:rRNA from 1 species